AUGCUGAAGCCUCCUGCCGCAGCUCCCCUGUUCACUGAAGCAUUUAAGGAACGACUGCCCAGUCCUGAGCAAGGCACUCAGCCACCUGCCGGAGCACAUAGGAAGCUGAGGAGGAGGCCCCAGGCCCGGCCCAGCCAGGAGCCGGGGAGGGAACGAAGAGCUCCCAGCCUGGUAAGGACAGACACGCAUCUGGUCACCUCCAGGGCAAUGACCCACUUAUUUCACUUGCAACUGCGUCCCAUUAAGUGGUGCAUUUCAGACACUCGAGAAUCUACUGGAGGAAAAGUAUUUGGCCCUCAUUAUCCUGGACACUCACUGCUGCCAGCCAGCUUGCAAGAUCCUCACAGCCCUCCCCACCACACCCUGGGAGACAAACAUGAGUGCGUGAGAAAAAGCCAGAAAGUUCCCCCCCUCUUAUCUGAGACACCGCUUUACCUCAUGUGUCAGGGGUCACUGAGCCAGGAAAGGCGGAUGCCUGGAGCUCCUUGGUGUCUUAGUUGCGUCUGUACCUCCACCUGGCAGCGGGUGGCCCUCAGGGGCUGCUCUGAGAGUGUUUGCUGCAGGAUUGGUGAGCGCUGGGAGCUGAGCACUGCGCAGCAACCUGGGAAACACAAGGUCAAAGGCCAAAGGUUGAAAAGAUACCUGCAGGCAGGGUCUCCAAAUACUUGGCCAAUCACAAAUACCAGACAAAUAGGGAGACCAGCUCUGACAAGACUAAGAGACAGUCCCUUCUGGAUUCACUUGUUUGGCCAACCAAACGCAGUCUUUGCUUUGUGCAGGGCCUCCUGGCUCCCUGAAAAUCUGUUUUCCUGCAAGAGAUGGUGUCUUCCUGAAGAUAAGGGCUGUGUCCCAGACCCGUGUCCCCUCACGGUGCCAGUCUGCAGCCUGUCCCCCGCCCCCAGUGCUGAGCUAUAAAUACCUCUCCACCCACGACAUCUGCCUCCCACACACCGAGCGUGGCCUCCGGGGGAGAAGGACCCCAUUUCCCCUCUCAAGUUGCCGCUCUGGGGCUGAGCCAACAUUCAAACUCGGGUGAGUCCAGCAGGUCCUUUGCCCCAGGCCUUCGGCUGUCUCCUCCUUGGGGCUUAGUCCUUGGCCACCUCUGAGGUGCUGGGGACAUUCAAACAAGGCGCAUGCAUUCAUUUUGUUAGGUUUCUAAAGCAAACGGCCACAGAUGUAGCCACUUGAAACAGUGGACGUUUGUUCUCUCACCAGCAAAAAAAUCAAGGUGUGGUCCAAGUUGGUUCCCGGAGGCGCCGACAGGGUUUCGGGAUCCACAGGGAAGCGGGGACACCUCUGAGCUGGACUUACGAAAGCCCCAGUCUUCACAAGCAGAGACCCACAUGUCCUCCCUCGGGAUGAGCAUACGUGAAUGUGAAUGUCCACAUUCUUUCUUCCUUUAUUUUUCUAGGGCUGCGCCCACGGC
rnacentral:lncRNA from 1 species